ACAGACCAUAGCUUCCUGCUGUAUGCGGCAGACUGAGAAAUGCAAGAGGCUACCAAAAAAAUCAGAGAAGUGGCAGAAGAAACUGUUGGUGUUAGCUACAGCACAGUCUUCAUAUUGAAAUGUUCCUUGGUGCUGGAGAUCCUCAAAGGUCUGCUUGCCUCCUAUAUUCACACAUAACUGCAAGACCCACCUGCGUGUUCAGGGGAUGAAGGCUCCUUAAGAGUACAAGAUGCUAAAGAUGUUCUUCUGCACAGGUACAACAUGAAAUGGAGGUGAUUUAGGUUGUGAGCUGUCAGUUGGCUGCCAAUCAGUCACCAGGGAUGUGCUGCUCCUUGAUUGCUGUCAGCCAGCAUUACAGGACCAGUUCUGAUGAUAUAUUUGUGCUACAUUACAGAUCUUCAACUCAGAAAAGAAAACUCUCAUCCACUGUCAACAAGUUUGGAAAACCACAGUGGUUUGAUACUAAUUCUUGUACUGGAAACUCUGCUGUGAUAGUGGGGUUCACAGUGCCCCAACCUUGCUGAGCGAUGGAAAAAUCUUUCACAGCAGAAACUGUUUUUUCUACCAAGCUUAAACCACGAGAAGUGCUACAGUAUAUUUGGUAAAGAAACUGAGAAAGCUAAGCGAAGCUAACAUACCACUGUACAACUGGGGGUGUUAGAGAAACCACUGUGUACUCUAGCUUUGUACAAUUAAAUAGCCAUCCUGCUUCACGCCUGCAGUGGUUAUUCUGCAGCCAUGGAGCGACUUCAUUUGUGUUACAGGCAAAGGCAGCUUGUAACAGGCUUUAGUUAGAUGAAGAGAUCAUACUGUCAACAAGAAUAAUAUUUGAUUACUAAGAGAUGGAGUCCCAGCCAGGGACAACACAUCUCCAAGUUUACGCCCUUAUGAUCAGAAGGAUAAUCUAUUGAUAAUCUGGUUUUUAGGAAGAGUAACUGGAAAAACAGUCUGGGAGCAGCUGAGACGGCAUUCUGCUGUGUGCAUUUGGUGAAAGGAUGUAUUAUCACAGUCCCCAGCACUUAAUCAUUGAGUGCAAUAUGCAGAAAUAGUCAGAAAGUUGCAGACUGCUGAAUGGGUUGAAAGGUUGUGGGAACAUGUUCUGGCAUAGCCUUGUGCUGUGGUGAGACACAGAACAAGGGUGAAAGGAUAAACCUUCUUCUCUUCUUAAUUCAGCAUCAUUUUGCUUCCUGGAGCAGAAAUAAUUUCCAUUACUCAUUUAGGGUAAUACUUUUCUAAUGCAUAUUACAUGGAAAUUUCUCAGCUGCAAAUCUUUGGUCCUGCUCAAACACUGUGAAAAAUCUUUAGUAUAUUACACAAUGAAGUAUUUGUAAACACAGCUGACUUGAGUUCAACAGGAACUUUGGCCAGUUGGAAAAUAAACCAACAGCAUAUCACAUGACAACAGACAGCCUGGCAUGAAACCUGCCUGUGGCUCUUACCAAAAUCCUGAGGCCCUGGAGUGUGUCCAGAGAAGGGCAAUGAAGCUGUGAAGGGUCUGGAACACAAUACAAGUCUUAUGGGAAGGACCUGAGGGGGAGCUAGGAUCGUUCAGUCUGGAGAUGAGGAGGCUCGGGGCAGAUAUUAUUGCCCUCUACAACUGCCUAAAAGGAGGUGGUGGUGAGGUGGGGAUUGGCCUUUUCUCCCGGAUAACAGUAAAACGAUGAGAGGGAAUGGCCUCAAGUUGGACCAGGGGAGAUUCAGGCUGGAUAUUAGGAAACAUUUCUUCUCAGAAAUAACAGUGAGGCAGUGGCACAGGCUGCCUGGCGAUGUGGUGAAGUCACUGUCCCUGGAGGUGUUCAAGAAACAUGCAGGUGUGGUACUGAGGAACGUGGCUGACAGGCAUGAGGAUGAUGGGCUGGGAGUUGGACGUGAUGAUCUUAGAUGUCUUUCCCAACUGUAAUGUUCCUAUGAAAACUGCUGCAACAAAAACUCAAGGCCCACUGCUGGAGCAAGUGGGAGAGCAGAUACCCAAGAAAACUAGGGUGAAGAGCCACUUGAUUGCCUACCUGUGCUGUACGUGUAGAAAAGGCCCAUAAAGACCAGUCACUGUGUCACAAUAACACCCAGGUAGGUGCCUUUCUGCCUGUUUAAGCCUUCUUAGAUGAGGGAACACAGCCUGCAGCCCACACUAUUAUGGGCCCAAGAGCAGUGGGAAAGCAGAGUCCUAUUUUCUGCCAGUCCAGAAGUGGGACGAGGCCUCUCACACAUGAAGCAAAGUGAGGGGGCUGCCACAGGGCACCAUCAGCCGCUCACUCAGCUGCAGGCUGGCGGGGCCUGCUAACAGCCACACACAGGCUGCUGCUGUCCGCACUGAUGGUUUCUACCUAACAUGAUCAGAACUGCUUAGAGGACAGCUGAAAAGUCACGUAUAACUAGUUUCCCAGCUGCCUUCUUGUCACAGAAUCACAGAAUGGUUUGGGUCAGAAGGGACCUUAAGGACCACCCAAUCCCAGCUCCCUGCUGUGGGCAGAGCUGCCUCCCCCCCCCACAAAGGCUGCCCAGGGACCCAUCCAUCCUGGCCUUGAGUGCCUCCAGGGAUGGGGAACCCACAGCAACCUUCCAGAUUGCAUUCACUUAGUCAGGGUGGGCUAGCAAGUGUGGACUACUGUCCCCAAGCACGGAGGAAAGAAAUUGGAGGAUAUGGAUAGGGGCCUAAUAUGGAGGCAGAGAGUGGGCCUCACAGGCCCUAAUCUUUCUUAUAUGUACCUAACAAGCAUGUGAAGCUGUUUCUCCUGCCAGUGUCACCUCUUAUGCAAUGUAUUUUGUUCUUUCAGUUUUGCUCUUACAUGGAGUAACUUUUUCUCUGCUCAAUUCUGCCAAUGUCAGCAUUCUGUUUGUCAUUGCAGUGCCACUUCUUAGAAUAAUUGCAGAUGUACAAACAACCAAUUUCCAGUGAUGCAACACUCUCAAUUUUCACAUGACCACCUUGCUAUCAACUACCUACAGCAAAUCAGAGCCCAAGCAAAUCAAGGCUCAUUUCAUGUAUUUCAGUCACAUGUUUUCAAGAAUCCAAUAGAUUCCUUAAUCUCACAUACACACUGUCACUUCCUCCACCAGUAAAUCCAUGAAAAUUAGCUGAACAAAAGUAAUGGUGACACUGAAUAAUUCAGCAAUACACUCUGACAGUAUUUUAGAAGCUCUUGUCAGCACAGCCUACUUUGCUUGUGCUUCAAUAUAUGACAUAACUGGCCUACAGGCUAUUAUGAGGUUUUUUUUGUUUGUUUGGUUGGUUGGUUUUUUAAAUACUUAAUACCUUUUGCAAGAGCAGAAAUAGAAUAAUAAACAGAGGUUUUAUCCUAAUGAUGUCAGAGAUAGAAGGAUGAAACCCCAAGCAGACAGGAGCGUACUGUAUUUUACUAGUUACAGGUAA